rnacentral:rRNA from 1 species
UACGUAGGGGGCAAGCGUUGUCUGGAUUUAUUGGGCGUAAAGAGCGUGUAGGCGGCCAGACAAGUCUGCUGUGAAAACUCGAGGCUCAACCUCGAGCUGUCGGUGGAAACUGUCUGGCUAGAGUCCGGAAGAGGAGAGUGGAAUUCCUGGUGUAGCGGUGAAAUGCGCAGAUAUCAGGAAGAACACCUAUGGCGAAGGCAGCUCUCUGGGACGGUACUGACGCUGAGACGCGAAAGCGUGGGGAGCGAACAGG